rnacentral:lncRNA from 1 species
AAACAAUUUAACAUUCAGAUGAGAUUGCUUCAUGACCAAGUAGACCUCGUAAAUUUGAGGAUUCAAGCAUCCAAGUAAACACCAUGAAUCCAGAAUUGACUUGGCAUGCCAAAAAUAUAUGAAAGAAGACAGUUACACAUUCCACAACAUAAUGGAAGCAAAACCAAAAAACUCAGAUGCUUGAAAUCAUUGAAUAUCUAAAAAUUAACCCCAACAAUCCAAAUAGCAACCAAAAUUACCUUGAGCUAUUGAAGAAAUUCAGCACUGACAUUACUCAUGGACCAAGUUACAAAACACUUAAGCCACAGCUGAGGGCUUUGAGGCAACAGAUAGUCUAGAUCUCUUCUUUGCCAAGCUCUCACUGCGGCGCUCACGCUGCUCC